rnacentral:rRNA from 1 species
CCUACGGGAGGCAGCAGUAGGGAAUCUUUCACAAUGGGCGAAAGCCUGAUGGAGCAACGCCGCGUGCAGGAUGAAGGCCUUCGGGUUGUAAACUGCUUUUAUAAGCGAGAAAUAUGAUGGUAACUUAUGAAUAAGGAUCGGCUAACUACGUGCCAGCAGCCGCGGUCAUACGUAGGAUCCGAGCAUUAUCCGGAGUGACUGGGUGUAAAGAGUUGCGUAGGUGGCAUAAUAAGUAGCUAGUGGAAUCUGGUGGCUCAACCAUUCAGACUAUUAGCUAAACUGUUAAGCUCGAGACCGUUAGGGGUAACUGGAAGUUCUAGUGUAGGAGUGAAAUCCGUAGAUAUUAGAAGGAACCCCAAUAGCGUAGGCAGGUUGCUGGGACGGUUCUGACACUAAGGCACGAAAGCGUAGGGAGCAAACGGGAUUAGAUACCCCAGUAGUC